rnacentral:rRNA from 2 species
UCUAAUACCGGAUAAUACCUGCCGAGGCAUCUUGGCGGGUUGAAAGCUCCGGCGGUGCAGGAUGAGCCCGCGGCCUAUCAGCUUGUUGGUGGGGUGAUGGCCUACCAAGGCGACGACGGG